UCCGGACGGUUUCCCGGAGAGGAUGGGGGAGGGGAGUUGCUCCUCGUUCCGGGCCACACCCCUCCCCCUCCCGUGUGGGGAGCGCAGUUGAGAGCGGGGGCUCCCUCUCCGGGUACCACGCGGAGGCUUGUGCAAAUCUGGUGGCCCUGCCGCUGGGUCCAGUAUUGGGGGUGCGGAGGAGGCGCUGGACCAUCUUUCUUGAAGCCAAAGGAGCCCCCACUUGGGGAGCUGAGGCCACGGGGAGACGCUCCGGGAGGAGGGCGGAUCCCUUUGGGGACCACGGACACUGGAACACGAUGACCACGGUGACGCCGGCUCCUUUCCUAGUUCCCUAAGGAGCCUUGGGCCACGGCCUCUGCUGACUGGUCACAAUCCAGAAGAGUGGUUCUCAACCUGGCUGCACACUCAGAUCACCUCGUGAGCUCUAAAAACUCCCAGCGCCUUCUCCCAGGACAGUGAAAUCCACAGUGCCAAAGGAUCUUAGUUCCCCGACCAGGGAUUGAACCCCUGUUCCCCUUGCAGUUGAAGCAUGGCGUCCUAAUCACUGGACCACCAGGGAAUUCCUGUGGACUGCUUAAUGAUGGCCAUUCUGACUGAAGAACUUGGCCCACACCCUAGAAUGCAGGCCUCUGGAGAGAGGGAGGUGCUCUGAGAAGCAAGCUACAAUGCGGGGCAGGUCCUGGGGCACAGCUGCCUGGCUCCACACCC